UAACCCUGUUGGAGUCCUCCGCACAGCUGCCUACGGCGCUUCGCGGCAGUUGCUGGCUCGGUUCUCCGGUCCUGGCCCGGCGGCAGCGGGAGGGCGCAGGCUCUGCUUGCGGUUCUCCUAGCGCGUAGGAGCGGAGCGGGACUCUCGCUCUCUUAACUCCAACAGUAUUACUGACCUUCCAGUUACUUCUGCACAGUCUCAACAGUCCUGUUCCCAACUUUCAUCUCUUGAAUGGAUUUACUCUUUGCCACGAGUAUCUCAAGCAAAUACUGGCAUUAUAAAAGAAUGAAUUUAUUCUUUUGUAUAAAAAUGACUCAGGAUUUGGCAACUUGAUUGAUCCAGAGUCUACGCCUGAAAAGUAGAGAACCCGUGGUACUUAUUAGUAACCGGUUUUUCUUUCCUUACUUAACUUCUCCCCUAUCCACUUAAAUGUAAAGUUGUUUUUUCCAUGUGACUUCUAAAAUAAUAACCCUACCAAAAACAAUGCUUCAAUUGUUUGAUAUUUAUGAAUAAAGUUUGAGAUGCAGAAA